CAUCAGUUUGCCAGGUCAGAGGACGAACAGCCUUCCCUCGGAAUUGCAUGAGACCCCGAGGUGUGGUGGAGGAAGCAUUGACUUGGUGCCCUAAGACUCCCACUCUGCCCUUCACAGUUUCCGAGUUUUGUUUUUCAGAGGAAACCAUGCUUGGACUUUCCAUUUUGGCCAGGCAGCUUGAGGAGAGGAUUGGACUCACUGCUUUGGAGAGUCAUUACUUUCAAGGUUACAAAUAAUUUUGAAAACACUUGAAAAGAUGGAGAAUGUAAACCUCCCAAAUUUGGAAGGCUUCAAGGAAGAAAAACAAGAACUCUACUGGAAAAGGCAGAAACCAGAAACCAGAAAAGUCGCAGCGUGAAGACGCAAUGCCCAGUUCUGACUCUGAAGCUGCGGGUCGCCCUUCAGGACUUCAUUCGCAGUCCUGCCUCCCACCCAGGCUCACACUGAAGCACUGAUGCCCAUUUGCUCAGGAGCGGUUUCAGAGAUCACUUGUCAUUCUCGACUCCUCUCUGUAGCUUGUCAAUCUCCCAGUAAAAUUAAUCAAUGUGGACACUAAUCUGUCGACUUGUCACCAUCCUCAGGUUUACAACCUUAUUUCAAACCACCAUCAUUUUUCACCUGAAAUGAUUCCAAAGCUUUGUCUGAACCUCCUGCCUUCACACUUGCUGAACUCAAAGGGAAACCAAAGUGACCUUCCGUAAGGAUCAAUGGGACCCAAUGCUUUCCUUGUCAUUAGAACAGAAGCUGCUGUUUUCCAUGCUGCCUAGUCCCUUUGUAACCUGGAUCCUGCCUGCCUUCCUAACCCAUCUCCUGCCACUCUCUCCUCUCCUCUCUGUGCUGUCUAAUCUGUGCCUCCCAGCCCCACCCCAUUUCAGGAUCUUUGCACUUGACACUCCUUCUGCUCUGAAGGUUCUUCUUUGGCAGAUCUUUAUGCAGUUGCUUCCUUCUCAGCACUAAAGUCUUAUCAUAAAGGUCCCAUUAGUACAUAAAGG